rnacentral:tRNA from 1 species
GCCCCCGUAGCCCAACUGGCAGAGGCAAACGACUUAAAAUCGUUCAAGUGUCGGUUCGAACCCGACCGGGGGCACCA